UACAUACUAGCCUAAUUGGAAAAGGCACUUGACUGAUAAUCAAGCUACUACAGGUUCAAAUCCUGUGUGUG
rnacentral:tRNA from 1 species